AGAGUUUGAUCCUGGCUCAGGAUGAACGCUAGCGACAGGCUUAACACAUGCAAGUCGAGGGGCAGCGGGGAAGUAAGCUUGCUUACUCCUGCCGGCGACCGGCGCACGGGUGAGUAACACGUAUGCAACCUGGCCGUCACAGAGGGAUAACCGGGAGAAAUCCCGCCUAAUACCGCAUAAUACCGGGGAAGGACAUCCUUCCCCGGUCAAAGGAGUGAUCCGGUGACGGAUGGGCAUGCGCCGCAUUAGUUAGUUGGCGGUGUAACGGACCACCAAGACGACGAUGCGUAGGGGUUCUGAGAGGAAGGUCCCCCACACUGGUACUGAGACACGGACCAGACUCCUACGGGAGGCAGCAGUGAGGAAUAUUGGUCAAUGGGCGAGAGCCUGAACCAGCCAAGUCGCGUGAGGGAAGACGGUCCUAUGGAUUGUAAACCUCUUUUGUCGGGGAGCAAGGGGCGCCACGCGUGGUGCCGUGCGAGAGUACCCGAAGAAAAAGCAUCGGCUAACUCCGUGCCAGCAGCCGCGGUAAUACGGAGGAUGCGAGCGUUAUCCGGAUUUAUUGGGUUUAAAGGGUGCGCAGGCGGCCUGUUAAGUCAGCGGUAAAAUUUCGGGGCUCAACCCCGACGAGCCGUUGAAACUGGCGUGCUAGAGUGGGCGAGAAGUAUGCGGAAUGCGUGGUGUAGCGGUGAAAUGCAUAGAUAUCACGCAGAACUCCGAUUGCGAAGGCAGCAUACCGGCGCCCUACUGACGCUCAUGCACGAAAGCGUGGGUAUCGAACAGGAUUAGAUACCCUGGUAGUCCACGCAGUAAACGAUGAAUACUCACCGUUUGCGAUAUAAUGUAAGCGGUAAAGCGAAAGCGUUAAGUAUUCCACCUGGGGAGUACGCCGGCAACGGUGAAACU
rnacentral:rRNA from 1 species